GUGUUAAUAGUGCAAUGGUUGCACGGCCGGAUCGUUGAUUCGCUGGCCUGCCCUGGUUCGAUUCCAGCUCCACGCG